rnacentral:rRNA from 1 species
GCCAGCAGCCGCGGUAAUACGGGGGGUGCAAGCGUUAAUCGGAAUUACUGGGCGUAAAGGGUCUGUAGGUGGUUUGUUAAGUCAGAUGUGAAAGCCCAGGGCUCAACCUUGGAACUGCAUUUGAUACUGGCAAACUAGAGUACGGUAGAGGAAUGGGGAAUUUCUGGUGUAGCGGUGAAAUGCGUAGAGAUCAGAAGGAACACCAAUGGCGAAGGCAACAUUCUGGACCGAUACUGACACUGAGGGACGAAAGCGUGGGGAUCAAACAGGAUUAGAUACCCUGGUAGUCCACGCUGUAAACGAUGAGUACUAGCUGUUGGAGUCGGUGUAAAGGCUCUAGUGGCGCAGCUAACGCGAUAAGUACUCCGCCUGGGGACUACGGCCGCAAGGCUAAAACUCAAAGGAAUUGACGGGGACCCGCACAAGCGGUGGAGCAUGUGGUUUAAUUCGAUGCAACGCGAAGAACCUUACCUGGUCUUGACAUCCUGCGAACUUUCUAG